UAUGAACGCUAGCUACAGGCUUAACACAUGCAAGUCGAGGGGCAUCAGGAAGAAAGCUUGCUUUCUUUGCUGGCGACCGGCGCACGGGUGAGUAACACGUAUCCAACCUGCCCUUUACUCGGGGAUAGCCUUUCGAAAGAAAGAUUAAUACCCGAUGGCAUAAUGAUUCCGCAUGGUUUCAUUAUUAAAGGAUUCCGGUAAAGGAUGGGGAUGCGUUCCAUUAGGUUGUUGGUGAGGUAACGGCUCACCAAGCCUUCGAUGGAUAGGGGUUCUGAGAGGAAGGUCCCCCACAUUGGAACUGAGACACGGUCCAAACUCCUACGGGAGGCAGCAGUGAGGAAUAUUGGUCAAUGGGCGCUAGCCUGAACCAGCCAAGUAGCGUGAAGGAUGAAGGCUCUAUGGGUCGUAAACUUCUUUUAUAUAAGAAUAAAGUGCAGUAUGUAUACUGUUUUGUAUGUAUUAUAUGAAUAAGGAUCGGCUAACUCCGUGCCAGCAGCCGCGGUAAUACGGAGGAUCCGAGCGUUAUCCGGAUUUAUUGGGUUUAAAGGGAGCGUAGGUGGACUGGUAAGUCAGUUGUGAAAGUUUGCGGCUCAACCGUAAAAUUGCAGUUGAUACUGUCAGUCUUGAGUACAGUAGAGGUGGGCGGAAUUCGUGGUGUAGCGGUGAAAUGCUUAGAUAUCACGAAGAACUCCGAUUGCGAAGGCAGCUCACUGGACUGCAACUGACACUGAUGCUCGAAAGUGUGGGUAUCAAACAGGAUUAGAUACCCUGGUAGUCCACACAGUAAACGAUGAAUACUCGCUGUUUGCGAUAUACAGUAAGCGGCCAAGCGAAAGCAUUAAGUAUUCCACCUGGGGAGUACGCCGGCAACGGUGAAACUCAAAGGAAUUGACGGGGGCCCGCACAAGCGGAGGAACAUGUGGUUUAAUUCGAUGAUACGCGAGGAACCUUACCCGGGCUUAAAUUGCAGUGGAAUGAUGUGGAAACAUGUCAGUGAGCAAUCACCGCUGUGAAGGUGCUGCAUGGUUGUCGUCAGCUCGUGCCGUGAGGUGUCGGCUUAAGUGCCAUAACGAGCGCAACCCUUAUCUUUAGUUACUAACAGGUUAUGCUGAGGACUCUAGAGAGACUGCCGUCGUAAGAUGUGAGGAAGGUGGGGAUGACGUCAAAUCAGCACGGCCCUUACGUCCGGGGCUACACACGUGUUACAAUGGGGGGUACAGAAGGCAGCUAGCGGGUGACCGUAUGCUAAUCCCAAAAGCCUCUCUCAGUUCGGAUCGAAGUCUGCAACCCGACUUCGUGAAGCUGGAUUCGCUAGUAAUCGCGCAUCAGCCACGGCGCGGUGAAUACGUUCCCGGGCCUUGUACACACCGCCCGUCAAGCCAUGGGAGCCGGGGGUACCUGAAGUACGUAACCGCAAGGAUCGUCCUAGGGUA
rnacentral:rRNA from 1 species